rnacentral:lncRNA from 1 species
CUUAAUUGACGUAAUCAACUUUAAUUUGUACUUUAAAAGUACUAUAGCUUACUGGGUAUAUUGGACUUAACAGUUACUAUAUACAGUAAUGGACUUCUAUACAUUUUACAUCAGAUUAAAACUUUGGGUGUAAGAUUCAGAUAAUUAUUUAUUAAAAGCUAGACAUUUUAAAUGAGAAUAAGAAAGAAAAGUAUGUCUUUGUGCCCCCUUUUCCCUGUUCAUGCCCUAUCGGCCCCCCGGGCUACACUUUGCUAGAUCCGCCCCUGCACAGUUACCAGCCGUCAGCUACGUAGAAAAGGAUCCUGGUGUAGAAAGUAAUAUUAAAUACAUUCUAACAACAGCUUAUCAAGCUUAAACGUGCUGCUGUUGUUCAGCCGCUGGUUUCCUCUUUCUGGUGCAAAGUGGGCCAAAAACAAAGAAGAGAGACGGACUCGCGACAGAAAAGCCGAUCAGCUGAUCAUUGAUCAGUUUCAUGAUUGAAGUAGCAGCAGGAGCGAGAGAGGCAGUCGCUCCAUAUAUCGGUUGUUAAGCGUCUCCCACGCAGACGGCGGCAGUAUGCAGCUCGAAAUAAAGUUAAGGCACCGACAAAUGUAAAACACGCGAAUAACGUUACAGGUGUAUCAAUGCUUGUGAAGGGCAUGGCUGCAGGAGACAAGCCCGUUUCUGAGUUACUCAGAGAAGUUGCUAACCGCUUAGAUUGUACGUCUUCACCUCAGUCUGAGUGUUGCAGCAGCGUACUGGAGAUGAAGCGGUCCGUGGUCCAAGUUCUCAUCAAAACAGCACAGUGUUAACGUUAACAAAUGCUAACGCUAUCACAGCUAGCUCCACUCCACCAAACGCUGUUCAGGGUCAUAACACGAACAAGUCGUCAAGUCAAGCAGCUGAGGAAAGGGCUUAAGGAGACCAUGGUAUGGCCGCUUCUGGCAGAAAGAUCAGACAUCAUUCCUCUUUUCUUACCAAGGGAAUCAGAGACGGCUCCCUGUUGUGAGUCUAUUCUAGAAAGGAUAGUGUGGCCUGCCACAGAAGAUGAAGCUGAGGAGGAAGAGGAAUGCUCUCUUGAGGAUAAAUGCAGAGUGGCAGGUUACCUUCGGUCCUUCAUUGAAAAUGCGUCUUGUGCACAACGAAAAGCCCUCAUCAAGUUUUGGACAGGAUGGGAAGUCUUGCCGAGAGAAAUGACUGUGGAAGUGGUCAACAGCAGUCUCCCAAAGUUUUCCACCUGUUUUGAAGUUCUACGUCUUCCUGCACACUACUGUACCUAUGAGUCAUUUCUGAUGGACAUUGAGGUGUGUCUCAACUGUACUGACUCAGGUUUUGGUCUGGUUUAG